rnacentral:tRNA from 1 species
GGCCCGUUAGUCAAGCGGUUAAGACGCCGGCCCUUCAAGCCGGAGGCAUGGGUUCGACUCCCAUACGGGUCA